CUGCAAAUAUUGGGCACAUUUUGGGCGAAGAUUUUGGACGAAAUCUCAAAUCCCGCCAUCUCACCCAGCAUCCACAAAUCGAUAAUGCUUUGGCUUCGUCAAUGUCGUAACAAUGACAUCACCUAUCUGUUCUCCUUGUACUACUCCACAGCUGCAACUUCCCACAACAAUUUGUUGGCGGAAAUACUAGUGAAUUCACUUGGUUUCUCCCACGAUAAAGCUAUUUCUGCUAGCGCCAAGGUAACACUCUUGAAACCUGGAAACAACAAGCCUCAAUUGGUCAUCAAUUUCUUCCAACAAAUUGGUCUAGACAAGACCCACAUCAAAUCCCUUGUUUCUUGCAACCCUAGGUUGCUGUUUUCUGAUGUUGACAAAACCCUUAAACCCAAAAUUAAGGUUUUUCAAGAACUUGGCUUAUCUGGGUCAGACCUAGCUAAAGUCAUCGCAAAAAGUGGGUCUUUCUUCUUUUUAAGUCUUGAUAAUUCAAUCAGAUCCAAUCUUGAUUAUUUCCGGAAUCUGUUAGGUAGUGAUGACUCUGUAGCUAAGUUUAUCAAGAGAGAGCCUAGGUUCUUAUGGGGUAUUGAUGCCCCUAAAAUAAUGCCACCCAAUAUAUCAUUGCUGCAAAAUCUUGGGUUUUCAAGUGUUGAUAUACAGAAGCUUAUGCUUUGGAAUCCUAGAAUUUUUACUCAAAAGGCUGAGCGCCUCAAAAACACAGUGGAUCGAGUAGAAAAAACUUUCUCUCUCUCUCGCGAUUGCAACAUGUUCAUACAUGGGGUUUAUGCACUUGCAUGGCUUGACGAAUCGACGGUGAAAAAGAGAUUAGAAAUCUUCAGGAGCUUCGGGUGGUCUGACUCGGAGAUUUUUAAAUUGGUCCAAAAACUUCCUCUUUGUUUGACAAGAUCUGAAGCUAAGAUCAGAAAUACGUUAAAUUUUUUAAUGAAGGAACUUGGUUAUGAGUCUCAUUACCUGGCUUCUCAUCCCACGUUUAUGACAUGUAGCUUGGAGAAAAGGAUUCUGCCUAGACAUAACGUUUUGAAGCUACUCAGCCAAAAGGAGCCGACAAAGUGUAGUCUGAACCUUUAUACUGCUGUGAUAUGUUCCGAGUCGAAGUUCUUAGAAAGAUAUGUGCUGCCUUUCAAGGAUGAGAUGCCCGAGGUGUAUGAUAUAUACAUCAAAAAUAGAAGCCAAUAGAGCAUUUUGUGAGUUUUACCAAAUUUAUUGAUAUGUUUGCUCAUAUCUCAUUGCUAUCAUAGAGGAUAAAUCAUUAUGUUUCUACAUGGUUGUUCUUGUUUUUUUUUUCUUUCAAAUGUGGCUAUCUCAAUCUGAAUGACAUGUUUUUUUCUUGAAUGCUUGUAGAUUAUGUUUUUGGUUCUUUUGUUUGUCAUGCAUUGGUCAUGAUAGUAUUCCGCCUAAAGCCCUAUUCGACCUAGUAAAGUUCUUCUAGAUUCUAGAGGUAGUAUCUUGUCUCAGCUUUGGUUUAUCUGUAGUUAUAGUAAGCAAAAGGCCAAGUGACAACCAACACCACUCAACACAGGUAAAGUAUACUUAAAACAAAUUGUUCUCCAGUUUGUCUGAAUGAUUUUAUUGUAUGUGUCUUCCUAAGUUACUCGAACUCUUCACUUUUGGUGCCGCACCCGUGUCGACACGACGUGGGUGUGGGUGUGGGAUCCGUACUUGAUCUGGUCAAUCAAUUUUGGGUACUUUGACCAAAAUCGAAGGAAUGAUUCGAGACAGGUACAAUGAUUUUUGAAAUCAAAACAAAAGUUAAGGUAAAAUUGAAGAAAAUGGAAUACCUUGUAUAUAGAAAUUUCUAUGUUAGUCCUUUUCCUUUUAUCUCUUUCUCGGAUUCUCCUCUUGAUCAAUAUAAUUUUUCCUUCUUAGCAUACAUUGUUAGUUUUCCACAUAAUGUCUCAUAAUUUAUAUAUAUUUUUAGAUAUUUGAAUUAUUUUUAGUCGAAUUCCCGCACCCGUAUUUAUAUUUGGAUCCAUACCCCGAAUCUUAAUUUUUAAAUCAUGAAGGAUCUGACCUCUAGAUCCGCACCCGUAUCUGACACCAGCACCCGAGUUCGAGCAGCUUAGGUGUUUUCAGAUGCUUGGUGGUCACAAUCAUCCUGACAGUAGAUAUAACCGUUAAACUCCAUCAUUCGUUCUUAUUUCUCUCGAUUCAAUUCAGCUACAAACUUGACUAUCUAGCUGUACUACUUUCAACUGCACGGUCCUACACUUUGAGGUUUCUCUUACUAAGGCAGAAGAGAAGGCACCAAUAAGGACAAAACAGCACAGAUCACUCCUGAACAGCUAGCAAACUGAUCUUGUAUUGAAUCAACACCAGCUUUUAACUUCACUGAAUCUAUAAUUUUGAAUAAAUAUUAGAAUCAAGUUAAUUAAGAUGUAACUGUUUGAUCAUACCUUUUUAUGUAUUAGCUUAGAAAUUUAUGUUCACGAGUUUCUACACAAUUAGGCUGUCUACAUCACACCCCUUGGGCUGCGGCCUUUCCCCAGGCCCUGUGUGAAUGCGGGAUGUUUUAUGCACCGGGAUGCCCUUUAUGUAUUUAUUUAUAGAUAAAUUAUGCAGAAGGGACAACACACAAGCUGAAGUUAAACUGUUUUCUCUCUUAACCUUUUGGCGCAAAAUGCAGAAUGUACAAGAACUGGAUAGUUUUUAUGUUUUUCAGCUCCCCAAUAGAUUAGUAUGGAGAGGAACUGUCUUUUAGCAAGGUCCUAGUGGAAACCUUGCUUUUCAAGGAUAUGAUUUGUGCAUCAAAAGCAGAAGCUAAGAGAAAUUCCUUUGGUGGGGGAUGUUGACUACAGAACAUUCUUUGAGCCUGUGUUAAUAGGUCAGGCAUUGCAUACAUCAUAUGUCCAAUUCCUUGUUUGUACUGGUCAUUCCUCUUCAAGCUACUGUCAAGCGUUUUACUGCUAAUUUACAUUUUAUUUCUGUAGAGCCAGUGUUAAUAGGUCAGGCAUUCUGAUGUUAAAGUAGAAGAUGCUUUUAGUAGAGAAGCACAUUUGUCGAAUAACCAUCUAUUUUGGUAAAUGGAGAAGAAAGUUCGGGAAGAAAUUAACUCUUGUAUCAGUUAAAGUCAUUUCAUCAAUGCCAAUCCCCGAUCUGGAGAAUAUAUCUUCUUGCAUCUUAAAAAAUCUUCUUGCUUUACACCAGCGCGACAUUUUCUUAAUCAAAGUUCUUAUAGAAAGUAUAAGUCAUGCUAAUUCUUUUUUAUUCUGUCAUUGUGUUUUGUUCAAACGUAGAUUAUUUAUGUCUGUAUCUUCAUUGUCUAUGGGAGGUGGAGUAAUCUCUUCAACAUGUCUUUGAAGAUCAUUUUUCACUGUUUCAAUAUCAUCUCUCUCUUUAAUAACAUGGUGGUGUGGACAAAACAUGGGAUUCAAUGACCAAAACUAAUAUGGUUAUCCAACAAGAAUGAGUCUACAAAGAGAGAGAGGAUCUACUUCACCCAUGUCACUUGUUGUAUCGGCCAAGGCUUUACACCAGCGUGACAUUUUCUGAAUCAAAGUUCUUAUAGAAGUAUGUACGGUCUUUUAGGAAUGGUUUCAUGAUUCUGAGGUGCUUGAUGUAUAUAUCAAAGAUAGAAGCGAUAAGGAUUAUUCUUUACGGUAAUAUGCAUAUUGCAGAUUCUUUGUUUGUGAGGUUUCUUUUUGAUAUUGUUUACUUAAUCCUCUCUGGAGUAUUACUGCUAGUUGACAUCUGAUUGCUGACCGCUUAUUUACUUAUUUAUUUCGAAUUUUCCUUGAUGUUUCUUAAUCCUGUCUAGAAUAUUUUCCUCUCCUUGUUGACUGCCUCUAUUAAUCAGUUAUACUGGAAAUGGAAGGUAUUCAGAUUUUGUUGUUCAAUGAUGCUUUGUAGUAAAUGUGGAGAAAAUAAUGGAAGUUUUAUUUAUUUCCUUUGUUUAUGUACCUAUUCCAUGAAUCAAUUUCUCAAUGGGGAUUGCAUGUUCUUGUUUUUGGCUGAAACUACUAACUCUGUUUCUAUGACAGGGUACCGGGUAGGGGUGGGCAUAAUACCGACCGAACCGUGCCGAACUUUUGGGUAUUAGUUCAAAACUUAAUUAAUUGUCUUAUCACUUAUGUUCUUAGGCUGAAGCCGCUGAACUCUGAAGCCCAAAGCCCAAAUACCUUUGAAUCCCCCCCCACCCAAGUGACUCACUUACGUUAUUUCCCAUCAAAAAUUAGACUUAGGGUUUUGCGAGUCUUGCGAGUUGCGACUGCUGGCUUCUUCCUCAGCUCUGUGCCACACUGCGAGUCUGCGACUGCUGCCUUCUUCCUCAGCUUCACUGUGACGCCUUCUUCCUCAGAUGACAGAAGUUGAAAGUAGAGUAAGUGAGGUGGGUUCAUCUGAAAGCGAACCUACUUCUUCACCUACAAUUUCAGUUGAAACUAGUCAAGACCCAAAAAAAAGAAAAUCUGUACAAUCUAGAUCAAUUGCUUGGGAUCAUUUUGAAAAGUUUAAAGACGCUUAUGGAGGUGAUAGAGCAAAGUGUAAACAUUGUGGUUGUGAUUAUAAGGCUAAGUCACGAUUGAAUGGAACAACAUCAUUAAAUACUCAUUUAAAGAAGUGUCCAAAAAUACCACGAAAAGUUGAUAAUACUCAAACACAAUUGUGUUUACAAAAGGAUGGGCAAAUUAAUGGUGGGGUGCUUUGGAAAUUUGAUCAAGAACUAGUUAGGAGGGCUUUAGUUGAAAUGGUAAUUAUGGAGGAAUUACCUGUUAGCUUUGUUGAAAAGAAAGGCUUUAAGAAGUUUAUGAGCAUAGCCCAACCUCUAUUUAAUGUUCCUUCUCGUAGGACGAUUACAAGGGAUUGUUUUCAAGUUUACAGUGAAGAGAGGCUUAAACUAAUGAAAAAUUUCAGAGAUGUAAAACCAAAAAUUUGCCUUACCACAGACACAUGGACUUCGUUACAAAGAAUUAACUAUAUGUGUUUGACGGGUCAUUUUAUUGAUAGAGAUUGGGUGUUGCUUAAAAGAAUACUAAAUUUUUGCCCUAUCUCUAGUCAUAAGGGUGACGAAAUGGCAAAAGUUAUUGCUAAUUGUUUGCUUGAAUGGAAAUUGGAUAAGGUAUUCACUGUUACUGUUGAUAAUGCUUCUUCAAAUGAUGUCACGGUCAAAGAAUUGUAUAAACAAUUAGAUAUGUGGAAAACUAAUUCGAUGGGUGGUAAGCAUCUUCAUGUAAAUGCAUGGCUCACAUACUUAAUCUAAUUGUGCAAGAUGGUUUGAAGGAAAUUGAUGUUUAUGUAAAACGUGUUAGACAAGCUGUGAGGUAUGUGAGAUCAUCUCCACAAAGGACCUUAAAGUUUAGGGAAUGUUGUGCACAUCAAGAGGUAGAAUGUAGCAAAACAUUGUGUUUGGAUGUUCCUACUAGGUGGAAUUCCACCUACUUGAUGUUGGAAACGGCGCAAAACUUUGAGAAGGCCUUUGACAAACUUCAUCUUUUUGAUGAUGGAUUUUCAACUCAUCUUUGUACACAUGUUUGUGAGGAUGGGAAUGUUGUAGGUCCAUUUGUAUGUGAUGAUUGGGUGAAUGUGAGAAAUGUGAUAAAGUUUCUUGAAAGAUUUCACGAGCUCACCGAAAAAGUUUCAGGCCCACGUUAUGUCACUUCUAAUUGUCAUUUUGAGGAUAUAUCUGAGCUUGAUAGUCAUUUGAAAACUUGUUUAGCUAGUGAUGAUACUAAUUUGAAUAAGAUGGCAGAGAAGAUAGAAAGAGAAGUUUAAAAAAUAUUGGGGUGAACCUCAAAAGAUGAAUAAAAUGAUUUUCAUUGCUUCUGUAUUAGACCCUCAUAACAAAUUUGAGUAUGUUGGUUUUGCACUUGAGGAAAUGUUUGGGAAGGAACCAGGGAAGAAAUUAAUUGCCGAAGUGGAUGCUAAUUUGAAUUCUUUGUUUGGAGAGUAUCAAAAAAAAUAUUCCAAAGGAUGUUGUCUUCAAUCAUCUCCAUCUAAAUCUACUUCAUCUGAUGACACAUCCGAUUCAUCUAGUGUAAAUGUGAGAACAAAAUCUGUGAGAACAAAGCAAUUGUUGAAAAGGCAAAAGGUAGACUCCGGAAGUGUAGGUGCUAAAUCUGAGUUGGAAAGAUAUAUUGGUGAAAGACAAGAGCCAUUGUUUGAUGAUUCUGAUGACUUUAAAAUCUUAGAUUGGUGGAAAAUUAAUGCGCCUCGAUUUCCUGUUCUAUAUGAGCUAGCUCGUGAUGUAUUAGCCAUUCUAAUUUCAAGUGUUGCAUCGGAAUGUGCAUUUAGCACCGGUGGCCGCAUUCUUGAUUCAUUUAGGAGUUCAUUGACUCCUCGGUUGGUGCUAAGUCUUGUUUAUGUUCAAGAUUGGUUUAGAUGUGACGAUACUCCUAUUAAUGUUGAAGAAGAUUUGGAGUUUCUUGAGCAAAUUGAACUUGAUAUGGCAACAAACGGAAGAGAAACUUGCAUUAUUGAAAGAGAUACUAGCAUUGUUGAUGCAUAGUUUGAACAAGUGGUUCAACUAUGCCUCGUAGUCCUAAAGCUAGAUCGCCUAUUUGGGAACAUUUUGAGCUAGUUGAAGCAAAUGAAGAAGUCCGCAAAGCAAAGUGUCUUCAUUGUGGUCGAGUUUAUAAUUGUCAUCCAAAGUAUGUUGGCACCAUGUGCUUAGUGAAGCAUAUUAAGAAGUGUCUCAAUCCUCAUCCAGUGAUUCCGUAUGUUAGACUUUAAGUAUCAUUUUCUAGACUUAUUUUGUGGCUUGUGGGUUGUGACUAGUUUGCCACUGUUUUGUUGUUUGGUGAUGGUAAUUUUUAGACUUAUUUUGGACUUUGGUAGCUGCUAGAUUUGCCAUAUGUUAAACUGUUUUUGGACAAGUUUGCCACUGCUGAGCAGUUUAUUAUUUGUUUUUGCCACUGCCCCAGCACAAUGCAAUAUGCAUUGCUCCUUUCGUUUUCUCAUUCUGGUUUGCCAAAGGGAACUGUAGUUUUCUCAUUCUGGUAUGCCAAAGGGAACAGGAACCUUCAUGUCUA